AGGAUCCACCCCUUCCUAGACCUCAUUUAAGGGUUGGCAGGGGAGGCAAGAAUGUCUUGCUUGAGAUUCCUGUCUACCUGAGGCCUUCUAAGGGCUCUCUUAUGGCUACCUUCAAGGGGAAAAAAAACUGCAAAGAUAGGAUGAAGAUAAUGGUAGCAAAAGCAAGCUUCUUUCCACAACCCUAACUCCCAUCAGAGCACAGCAGCUGCUGGCAGCACUCUGCAACAGGGAUUACUGGAGACUGACACAUGUACGUGUAUAGAGAAGGCCCUUACUGUGGCUUUCCAUGAGGAAACAGUACCAAGAUCUAUACCCAC
ensembl:lncRNA